AGUCGCGUGACGUUGCGAGAUAAUUGGCUUCAAAAUUACAAGAGCAAAUUACAAGUGCUAUAGAGAGUAUUCAUCUCCAUCGGCUGCUGAUUUUGAGGAGGAUACUGAACACCUUCGGUUUAAUUUGUAAGUGAAAGUAUAAAACUUUAUAGAUGGUCACUUCGGGAUGAAUUGUCUUCCAGUUUUGGUUAAACAACGAUAACAACGUUGUGGCUGACUAGAGCUCUUUUAAUCUAUUUUCGGAUGACAAAAGCUACAACAACAAAAAACGGCAUUGAUUGGGACAUGGGCUGUAUCAGUGGCUGUGUAUAAACAAGAGAAAGGAUGAGUAAGUUGGACUUACGAUCGGUGGUAUUGCACGUGAAAAGAGAUAAAAGUUGUUAUGUUCGAUUGGAAGUAAAUCGGUUUCAAUUUCAAAAACCCUGAAAAAACGU